GGUCAGUUGAACAUUUUCCAUGCUGUGAUCAAGUUGUCUUUUCCUCUGAGCGCCGAGCGCUGUGAACGCCUUGGACGAGGAGCAAAAUAAUAAAUACGCAUUCGAAGGAAACUCAAGCCAAAAAUCUCACGUUGCCCCAAAAGCAAAUAAACAAACCAAAAAUUUAAUGGCCGAGCAUCAAGUGCAGUGCGUUUGAAUGUAUGUGUGGAAAUAUAUGUGUGUGUGUUUGUGUGUGUAUGAGUGUGUGAGUCUAAUUGCAUGUGUGUGAAGCGUGCUUAAUGGCUUGAGAAAUUUGCUCAACGGCAAACAAUUUGUGAAACGACGGACUGACUUACAUGCAUUUUAUUAGUACAUAAUAUCAAAACCAAAAACAAAAACAAAAAACCAAAAUCAAUUCAAUUGAACUUAAAA